AAAUGUCAAAAAACGUCAUAGUAUAGCAUAGCAUAAUAAUGUAAAAAAAAAAUGUCAUAGUAUAGUAUGGCAUAAAAAUGUCAAAAAAACGUCAUAGUAUAGCAUGGCAUAAAAAUGUAAAAAAAAACGUCAUAGUAUAGCAUGGCAUAAAAAUGUAAAAAAAAAAAAAAAAACGUCAUAGUAUAGCAUGGCAUAAAAAUUUCAAAAAACGUCAUAGUAUAGCAUAGCAUAAUAAUGUAAAAAAAAAAUGUCAUAUUAUAGUAUGGCAUAAAAAUGUAAAAAAAAAAGUCAUAGAACAGUAUCGCAUAACAUUCUCAAAAAAUGUCAUAGUAUAAUAAGGCAUAAAAGUGUCAUAGUAUAGUAUGUUAUAAAAAUGCCAAAAAACGUCAUAGUAUAGUUAGGCAUAAAAAUGCAGAAAAACGUAAUACUAUAGCAUGGCAUAAAAAUGUAAAAAUAAAACCCCCCCAAAAAAGUCAUAGUAUAGUAUGGCUUAAAAAUGUAAAAAAAAAAAACGUCAUAGUCUAGCAUGGCAUAAAAAUUAAAAAAAAACCAUCAUAUUAUAGCAUGGCAUAAUGUAAAAAAAAAACGUCAUAGUAUAGUAUGGCAUAAAAAUGUCAAAAAAAAAAAGUAAUAGUAUAGUAUGGCAUAAAAAUGUCAAAAAAACGUCAGAGUAUAGCAUGGCAUAAAAAUGUAAAAAAAAAAAACGUCAUAGUAUAGCAUGGCAUAAAAAUGUAAAAAAAAAACGUCAUAGUAUAGCAUGGCAUAAUGUCAAAAAAAAAAAAACGUCAUAGUAUAGCAUGGCAUAAUGUCAAAAAAAAAAACAAUCAUAAAAAACGUCAUAGUAUAGCAUGGCAUAAUAAUAUAGAAAAAAUAAAUGUCAUAGUAUAGUAUGGCAUAAAAAUGUCCAAAAAAAAACGUCAUAGUAUAGCAUGGCAUAAUGUCAAAAGAAAAAACCUCAUUAUAUAGCAUGGCAUAAAAAUGUAAAAAAAAAACAAAAAAAAACGUCAUAGUAUAGCAUGGCAUAAUGUCAAAAAGAAAUGUCAUAGUACAGUAUGGCAUAAAAAUCUCAAAAAAAAAUGUCAUAGUACAGUAUGGCAUAAAAAUCUCUAAAAAACGUCAUAGUAUAGCAUGGCAUAAUAAUGUAGAAAAAAUAACCUCGUAAAAUAGCAUGGCAUAAAAAUGUAAAAAAAAAUAACCUCGUAAUAUAGCAUGGCAUAAAAAUGUCCAAAAAAAAAAACGUCAUAGUAUAGCAUGGCAUAAUGUCAAAAAAAAAUGUCAUAGUAUAGUAUGGCAUAAAAAAAAAAAAAAAACAUAGUAUAGUAAGGCAUAAAAUUUUUUAAAAAAACAUCAUAGUAUAGCAUGGCAUAAUAAUGUCAAAAAAAAAAAGAUGUCAUAGUAUAGCAUGGCAUAAAAAAUUAAAAAAAAAACGUCAUAGUAUAGUAUGGCAUAAAAAAAGUCAUAGUAUAGUAUGGCAUAAAAAUGUAAAAGUAAAACCCCCCAAAAAACGUCAUAGUAUAGCAUGGCAUAAUAAUGUAAAAAAGAAAAACGUCAUAGUAUAGCAUGGCAUAAUGUCAAAAAAAAUGUCAUAGUAUAGUAUGACAUUAAAAUGUCAAAAAACGUCACAGUAUAGCAUGGCAUAAAAAUGUCAUAGUAUAGUAUGGCAUAAUGUCAAAAAAAAAAGUCAUAGUAUAGCAUGUCAUAAAAACGUCAAAAAAAAAGUCAUAGUAUAGCAUGGCAUAAAAAUGUAAAAAAAAACGUCAUAGUAUAGCAUGGCAUAAAAAUGUAAAAAUAAAACCCCCCAAAAAACGUCAUGUUAUAGCAUGGCAUAAUGUCAAAAAAAAAUCUCAUAGUAUAGUAUGGCAUAAAAAUGUCAAAAAACGUCAUAGUAUAGCAUAGCAUAAUAAUGUAAAAAAAAAAUGUCAUAGUAUAGUAUGGCAUAAAAAUGUCAAAAAAACGUCAUAGUAUAGCAUGGCAUAAAAAUGUCAAAAAAAACGUCUUAGUAUAGCAUGGCAUAAAAAUGUAAAAAAAAACAUCAUAGUAUAGCAUGGCAUAAAAAUGUAAAAAAAAAAAAAAAACGUCAUAGUAUAGCAUGGCAUAAAAAUGUCAAAAAACGUCAUAGUAUAGCAUAGCAUAAUAAUGUAAAAAAAAAACGUCAUAGUAUAGCAUGGCAUAAAAAUGUAAAAAUAAAACCCCCCAAAAAACGUCAUAGUAUAGCAUGGCAUAAAAAUGUGAAAAAAAACGUCAUGGUAUAGCAUGGCAUAAAAAUGUCAAAAAACGUCAUAGUAUAGCAUAGCAUAAUAAUGUAAAAAAAAAUGUCAUAGUAUAGUAUGGCAUAAAAAUGUCAAAAAACGUCAUAGUAUAGCAUGGCAUAAAAAUGUAAAAAAAAACGUCAUAGUAUAGCAUGGCAUAAAAAUGUAAAAAAAAAAAAAAAAAACGUCAUAGUAUAGCAUGGCAUAAAAAUUUCAAAAAACGUCAUAGUAUAGCAUAGCAUAAUAAUGUAAAAAAAAAAUGUCAUAUUAUAGUAUGGCAUAAAAAUGUAAAAAAAAAAGUCAUAGAACAGUAUGGCAUAACAUUCUCAAAAAAUGUCAUAGUAUAAUAAGGCAUAAAAGUGUCAUAGUAUAGUAUGUUAUAAAAAUGCCAAAAAACGUCAUAGUAUAGUUAGGCAUAAAAAUGCAGAAAAACGUAAUACUAUAGGUAGGCAUAAAAAUGUAAAAAAAAAACGUCAUAGUAUAGCAUGGCAUAAAAAUGUAAAAAUAAAACCCCCCAAAAAAAGUCAUAGUAUAGUAUGGCUUAAAAAUGUAAAAAAAAAAAAACGUCAUAGUCUAGCAUGGCAUAAAAAUUAAAAAAAAAACAUCAUAUUAUAGCAUGGCAUAAUGUAAAAAAAAAACGUCAUAGUAUAGUAUGGCAUAAAAAUGUCAAAAAAAAAAAGUAAUAGUAUAGUAUGGCAUAAAAAUGUCAAAAAAACGUCAGAGUAUAGCAUGGCAUAAAAAUGUAAAAAAAAAACGUCAUAGUAUAGCAUGGCAUAAAAAUGUAAAAAAAAAACGUCAUAGUAUAGCAUGGCACAAUGUCAAAAAAAAAAAACGUCAUAGUAUAGCAUGGCAUAAUGUCAAAAAAAAAAACAAUCAUAAAAAACGUCAUAGUAUAGCAUGGCAUAAUAAUAUAGAAAAAAUAAAUGUCAUAGUAUAGUAUGGCAUAAAAAUGUCCAAAAAAAAACGUCAUAGUAUAGCAUGGCAUAAUGUCAAAAGAAAAAACCUCAUUAUAUAGCAUGGCAUAAAAA